UCGUCGUCGUCCGCUUAGGUUAUAAGGGGAGCCAGAGAGGUGAGGGAGGUGACCAAAGCGGCAGCGGCCUUGGGGUGCCGAAGAAGAGUGCGUAGGAGGAUGGAAAGGGGCUCGUAUACGACGGCUGGAAGAGAACUAUGCUCUCCUAAACCUGAAUGGGCCAGAAGUGACAAGACAGACAGAUCUGGCAGUCAAUUAUUCUUCAGUUUCGGUUGUGAUGUUUCAACAUGAGUUCAGAGCGUUAAUGCUUUGCUGAUGCGAGGAGGUGAAGUUGUAUGCUACCAGAGUGCAGAUAUUUCUUGGUAUGUUUGCUUUCAAGAAAAGAUGGAUGUGUGUUGUGACUGUGACAGAUGGUUCUACUGGAUAUGUUGUUGGGUUUAUAACAAGAAGCAUUGGUAAGGAUAUCAAAAUACAAGAGAAUGCUGCAACGACCAAGGUGCCAUAUAUAUAUCGAAGGAGGAUUCAGAAUAUGAAGUUACUGGAAACAUUGUUGGAAGUGUUGGUCUUGAGAGCACAUAAAAGGAUUCAUCGUUUCUUAUAAAAACAUUACAAUCAUUCAAAGAAGAAGAAGCCAUUCUUUCCAAUGUUUACAUAUAAGAUAUACCAGUACAUCCCAAUUGGUAGGGCCCCUCCACUGAUAAGCAGGAUAUCCUUUUAACAAGUGGCUCGGAGAGAAUAAAGCGUUAGAUUUUAUCAUACUUUUACAGUUUAACAUGUCAAAGAAGGGAGAGGAGACACCAGCGGAUGGCAAGAUGGAUGAACUGUUGGACAGUGUUAGCCUUAAUUACCUAAUUCCUAAUGAAGUGGAAAACUUUAUGACCAGCAUAGAAAAUGUGCAACACUCUUCUUCUGAGCAUGAAGGGCAGAAUGAUGAUUUCGAAGCAAAUAUCAUUGAGCAAGAUGAUGAACACAUUGGAAAGAUUUUACUAAUCUUACUGUUGCAUGCAAAGACAUUGGUGAUGUCAUAUCAGAAGACCCACAAAAGGUUUAGGUUUCCGAGGGC